rnacentral:rRNA from 1 species
GACGAACGCUGGCGGCGUGCUUAACACAUGCGAGUCGAACGAUGAAGCCGGAGCUUGCUCCGGUGGAUUAGUGGCGAACGGGUGAGUAACACGUGAGCAAUCUGCCCUUGACUCUGGGAUAACUGCGGGAAACUGUAGCUAAUACCGGAUACGACACCUUGGGGCAUCCCAGGGUGUGGAAAGAAUUUCGGUCAAGGAUGAGCUCGCGGCCUAUCAGCUAGUUGGUGAGGUAAUGGCGCACCAAGGCGACGACGGGUAGCCGGCCUGAGAGGGUGACCGGCCACACUGGAACUGAGACACGGUCCAGACUCCUACGGGAGGCAGCAGUGGGGAAUAUUGCACAAUGGGCGAAAGCCUGAUGCAGCAACGCCGCGUGAGGGAUGAAGGCCUUCGGGUUGUAAACCUCUUUUAGCAGGGAAGAAGCGAAAGUGACGGUACCUGCAGAAAAAGCACCGGCUAACUACGUGCCAGCCGCCGCAGUAA